rnacentral:rRNA from 1 species
CGCAGCCGCGGUAAUUCCAGCUCCAAUAGCGUAUAUUAAAGUUGCUGCAGUUAAAAAGCUCGUAGUUGAAUUUCGGGACUAAUAUGUUGGUCGUGCCUCGGUACGUACUGAUAUUUUUGGUUUCUCCCUUCUGACGAACCUUGAUGUCAUUAAUUUGGUGUCUUGGGAAAUCAGGACUGUUACUUUGAAAAAUUAGAGUGUUUAAAGCAGGCUCACGCUUGAAUACAUUAGCAUGGAAUAAUGAAAUAGGACGUUUGAUUCUAUUUUGUUGGUUUCUAGGAUCGACGUAAUGACUAAUAGGGAUAGUUGGGGGCAUUAGUAUUCAAUUGUCAGAGGUGAAAUUCUUGGAUUUAUUGAAGACUAACUACUGCGAAAGCAUUUGCCAAGGAUGUUUCCAUUAAUCAAGAACGAAAGUUAGGGGAUCGAAGACGAUCAGAUAACCGUCGUAGUCUUAACCAUAAACUAUGCCGACUAGGGAUCGGAUGAUGUUAAUUUUUAUGACUCA